UCCAGACUCCUACGGGAGGCAGCAGUGGGGGAUAUUGCACAAUGGGGGGAACCCUGAUGCAGCGACGCCGCGUGGGUGAAGGAGCGUUUCGGCGCGUAAAGCCCUCUCGGCAGGGAAGAAGGAGGACGGUACCUGACUAAGAAGCCCCGGCUAACUACGUGCCAGCAGCCGCGGUAAUACGUAGGGGGCAAGCGUUAUCCGGAUUUACUGGGUGUAAAGGGGGCGCAGACGGCAGCGCAAGCCAGGAGUGAAAGCCCGGGGCCCAACCCCGGGACUGCUCUUGGAACUGCGCGGCUGGAGUGCAGGAGGGGCAGGCGGAAUUCCUGGUGUAGCGGUGAGAUGCGUAGAUAUCAGGAGGAACACCGGUGGCGAAGGCGGCCUGCUGGACUGCGACUGACGUUGAGGCCCGAAAGCGUGGGGAGCAAACAGGAUUAGAUACCCUGGUA
rnacentral:rRNA from 1 species